CAAGUACUCCCUCCGUCCAGAAUUACUUGUCAUCAAAAUGGAUGUGUCUAGAACUAAAAUACAUCUAGAUACAUCCAUUUCAAUGACAAGUAUUUUCGGACGGAGGGAGUACAGG
rfam:Triticum aestivum genome assembly, contig: Triticum_aestivum_CS42_TGACv1_scaffold_404475_5BL